AUAUAACUUACUAUAGUUAUACUAUACAUAAUUCAAAAAAAUAGUGAAAAUAUACUAAACCCAGACCGGCCCCCUCAACCCAUAACCCUUAUGGUUCAAUUUUUAUCCGAACUAACCCGGCCCGAUACGAACCUGUUACUGUGCAACCCAGCUGGUCCGGCCCGGAACCCGGACGGGUAAAAAAAAUUGACCCUGCCCGGACCGGCCCACCCGUUAAACAACCUUAACUCGCGUAGCCAGGAGGAGCAUAUGAGAAUCUGAUGACUGUACUACAAACGUUGAGGGAGAAGAAGAUUUAUGUUAAAUUUUCCAAAUGUGAGUUCUGGCUUGAUUUUGUGGCGUUCUUCAUCAAGGUAGAUCUAAAGAAGAUUGAGGCUGUUAAGAGUUGGCCUAGACCAUCUUCAACUACUUAUAUUUGGAGUUUUCUUUGUUUGGAUGCUGGAUAUUAUUGUCAUUUCUGGGAUGAAUGUUGCAGUUUUUUGGCCAAAGACAUGUUUGAAAAUAAAGAUAGCUUAAAUAUCAGAGAACAAAAUAUGUAAUCAAUAUAGAAAGUAAAGGGUUGUACUGUGUUAUUUUUCCUUCCAUUUGGUAAUGGCGGUGAUCGCCUUCUAGGUCUUUGACUCCAUAAUAUAGGUGACCAAAAUACACUACCCAAUCCUUGACAUAGAGAAUUUCUCCACUUGCUCUGAGAUGACAAUAGUAAGAAGGUCCAGAGUUAUAAUCCAGAAUAAAUAAGAAUACGAAAAUUCUUCAGGACACUUACGUCUAAUAUUCCAAGUCUCCGAGAGAGGGUUCCUAUUGGGCUUAUCAAAG
rnacentral:lncRNA from 1 species